AUCUUUAUGCAAGGGCAUUACGUGUAUCAGUGAGGAUUCGUCCGAGAUCAUGUUUUUGCUGGUUGAAAACUUUCAACUCGACUGCUUUCAUUUGAACUUAGCUUUGUCUUUGGUCACUUGAGGAAUUUUUGGAAACUUACUUA
rnacentral:snRNA from 1 species